AGAGAAGAACGUGAAGACCGCGAUGCCGUCAUGGUUGAACUUUGUCGAGCCGUUUGAGAACGUACUAGAUCGAUGGAAUGUGAUCUGGGAUAUAAUUAAUCAUCUCGAGCUCAUCAAGGAUACACCUCAGCUGCGUGCUGCGGUACAGGAAGUUCAGGUAGAGAAGGUCAAGUUUGAGCUUAAACUUCAUCAAAGUAAGCCAAUUCCCGACGCUUUUCAAGCUCUUAGAGUCGCUUGAUUCUAGAUCAGGAAAGAAACAAAAAUCGGAGUCAUGUAAUUGGAAGACAUCCAGCGAUGCUAACAAACGUGUGCUGGAAAACCUAAUAAGGAAUGGAAUUCUGAAUGGGGUUGGCUUGAAAGAUGGUGCAAGUGAAGAGUUUAACGAAAUUGAGCAGGAGUGA